rnacentral:rRNA from 1 species
GAACGCUAGCGGCAGGCUAACACAUGCAAGUCGAGGGGCAACGCGAAUAGCAAUACUUGGCGGCGACCGGCGCAAGGGUGCGUAACGCGUGAGCAACAUGCCCGUAUCAGGGGGAUAAUCCAGGGAAACUUGGUCUAAUACCCCAUAGUAAUUUUGUAAGGCAUCUUAUAAGAUUUAAAGCUUUGGUGGAUACGGAUUGGCUCGCGUGACAUUAGCUGGAUGGUAAGGUAACGGCUUACCAUGGCUAUGAUGUCUAGGGGUUCUGAGAGGAAGGUCCCCCACACUGGAACUGAGACACGGUCCAGACUCCUACGGGAGGCAGCAGUGAGGAAUAUUGGACAAUGGAUGGAAAUCUGAUCCAGCCAUGCCGCGUGGAAAGGAAGAAGGUCCUAUGGAUUGUAAACUUCUUUUGUAUGGGAGCAAUAAGGCCUACGAGUAGGUUGAUGAGAGUACCAUACGAAUAAGCACCGGCUAACUCCGUGCCAGCCGCCGC